CGCACAAGUGUUAGAUCUGUACCGGGCGAUGCUGAGAGAGAGCAAGCAUUUCAGCGCCUACAAUUACAGAAUGUAUGCUGUCAGGAGGAUAAGAGAUGCCUUCCGAGAAAAUAAGAGUGUAAAGGAUCCUGUAGAAAUUCAAGCCCUGGUAAAUAAAGCCAAAAGAGACCUUGAAAUAAUCCGCAGACAGAAUAUUUAGAAGAAACUGGCCUUACUCAAGGCUUGUUCAAAUGUUGGCCCAGAUCAGGACUCUCCUUCACUGCACCAAGAAGUCAUAGCCCUGUUAACAACAGGUGUGGGAUUUGGACUGCUUCUCCUUGAUGUUCUCAGUUCAUAUUGGCCAACUGUAUUCAACUGACAAGCUUAUCAUUGAGAAUCAAGAGACGCCCAGGACAUAGGAGCCCAGCACUAGGAAACAGCCUCCAGCAGCAGAACCGACCACCUUCAGCAUCCAUUCUCUAUGCUGUGGAACCUCCCAGUGCUGGCUGAACAGAGCCUCUUGCUCUUCCUGCCUUGUAGGAGCUGAUAAACUGGGUCACAUUUGCAUUCUGUCACAGCCAUAAUGUGAAGAAAUGGCUGUGCAUCCUCAAUCCAAGUGUUAGAAUGAAGAGCUGGAGGUCACUAAGAAUAAUGCCAUGUGUUAUUGUGUCUCCUCUCCAUCCCUCCCAUCUUACAGAUCACCCAUGUAUAGAGCUUUUGCAGACUUUGUGUCUUAGUCCUUAAAAAUAAACAGAAUUAUCUCCCUAUCCUUUUAUACCAAAUAAACCCAUUACAAUGAA